rnacentral:rRNA from 1 species
AUUGAACGCUGGCGGCAGGCCUAACACAUGCAAGUCGAACGAGUGGCGGACGGGUGAGUAAUGUCUGGGAAACUGCCCGAUGGAGGGGGAUAACUACUGGAAAAGGUAGAUAAUACCGCAUACCAUCGGAUGUGCCCAGAUGGGAUUAGCUAGUAGGUGGGGUAAAGGCUACCCUAGGCGACGAUCCCUAGCUGGUCUGAGAGGAUGACCAGACACACUGGAACGGAGACACGGUCCAGACUCCGACGGGAGGCAGCAGUGGGGAAUAGUGCACAAUGGUCGCAAGCCUGAUGUAGCAAUGCCGCGUGUAUGAAGAAGGCUUUCGGGUUGUAAAGUACUUUCAGCGAGGAAGCGUUACUCGCAGAAGAGGCACCGGCUAACUCCGUGCCAGCAGCCGCGGUAAUUC